CCCUUAGAUGUCCUGGGCCGCACGCGUGCUACACUGACGCCUACAGCGAGUACUUCCCAGCCCCGAGAGGUGGCUGGUAAUCAGCAAUAGGCGUCGUGAUGGGGAUAGAUCUUUGGAAUUAUGGAUCUUGAACGAGGAGUGCCUAGUAAGCGCAGGUCAUUAGCCUGCGCUGAUUAAGUCCCUGCCCUUUGUACACACCGCCCGUCGCUCCUACCGAUUUCGAGUGGUCCGGUGAAUCUUUCGGACUGCGCGCGGCCUCGUGCCGUGUCGCGGAAAGUCAGGUAAACCUUAUCACUUAGAGGAAGGAGAAGUCGUAACA
rnacentral:rRNA from 1 species